rnacentral:rRNA from 1 species
AGUGAACGCUGGCGGUAGGCCUAACACAUGCAAGUCGAACGGCAGCACAGUAAGCGCUUGCUCUUACGGGUGGCGAGUGGCGGACGGGUGAGGAAUACAUCGGAAUCUACUUUUUCGUGGGGGAUAACGUAGGGAAACUUACGCUACUACCGCAUACGACCUACGGGUGCAAGCAGGGGAUCUUCGGACCUUGCGCGAUUGAAUGAGCCGAUGUCGGAUUAGCUAGUUGGCGGGGUAAAGGCACACCAAGGCGACGAUCCGUAGCUGGUCUGAGAGGAUGAUCAGCCACACUGGAACUGAGACACGGUCCAGACUCCUACGGGAGGCAGCAGUGGGGAAUAUUGGACAAUGGGCGCAAGCCUGAUCCAGCCAUACCGCGUGGGUGAAGAAGGCCUUCGGGUUGUAAAGCCCUUUUGUUGGGAAAGAAAAGCAGCAUGUUAAUACCCCGCUGUUCUGACGGUACCCAAAGAAUAAGCACCGGCUAACUUCGUG